rnacentral:SRP_RNA from 1 species
GCCGGGUGUAGUGGCGCACGCCUGUAAUCCCAGCUAUUUGGGAGGCUGAGGCACGAGAAUCGCUUGAACCCGGGAAGAUUAGGUUGCAGUGAACCGAGAUCACGCCACUGCACUCCAGCCUGGGUGACAGAGUGAGACCCUGUCCCUC